rnacentral:rRNA from 1 species
AAGGCUUCAGUACGACCCAGUCAGAACUAUAAGUCUCAAAGCCCCGACGAGUAGGGUGGCGUGCCGGUGCGCGUUGAAGGCCAAGACGUGAGUCAGGCUGGAGCCGCCGGUAGUGCAGAUCUUGGUGGUAGUAGCAAGUACUCUGGUGAACCAACCUGGAGCUGUGAGGUCUGGAUUAGGGUUCCAUGUCAACAGUGAUUGAACAUGGGUGAGUCGAUCCUAAGCCAACUGUGAAAGCAGUGACAUCCCAACAAAGGAGCAUUUCGUGCGCCGCACUUACACUCCCAAUGCAAAGCUCUCGUGUAUCUCUCUCUCGCACAUGCGCGCACACACAAUGAUCACUUAAAAUAAAGUGAGUGUGUGCGCUUCUAUGGUUACGCUCACGAGCGUUGAGGAUCUGCUGUCUGUCUUAUAAAGAGAGAGAGAGAGAGAAAGAGAGUGGGUGAGCGUGAGUUAUUGCUAUUGCAUGGCUUUCUGCGUUGGUUCUAUGUCCGGCGAAAGGGAAUGGGGACUUUGUUCCUUGACCGGUCCCGGCACCCUCGAUUGGCUCUGCCAAUUAAUGGUCCAUGCAAAUGGAACCAGGCCACAGCCGCUGGCAGUCGCCCGAGGAAGAGUUUUCUUUUCUGCUUAACGCACGAGGUCAUCCCUGGAAACAGUUCGGCUGGCGAAAGGGUGCCCCGUUGCGGCAGAGCGCCACGACUGUCGUGCGCGUCUCGGUGUUCCUGCCGGUCCGUGAAGACGUGGUCGAGGGGAUUGCUAUCUUGUAUCAACGAAACGCCUGACAAGUUCGGGACGGACCGUACCCUAUAUCCGCAUCUGGUCUCCAAGGUUCGUAGCCUCUGCAGAGUCAGACACAUGUAGGUAAGGGAAGUCGGCAAACUCGAUCCGUAACUUCGGGAAAAGGAUUGGCUCUGAGGGCCGAGCUGGGCCGGGCCUUGCCUGCAAAGCAGUACCUAUAGUGACCGGAGUUUCAGGAGUGCGAGGGGCUCUAGUAGCUGCUUGUGCGUGUGUGCGUUCGCGCGUGCGCGCGUGUGGGCACGAACGAGUCCACCGCUCCGCUCCAACCACGAACGGCUGUGACGGCAAGGGCUCUGGGCGGGAGCGAUCGAUCCGUUGGCCCCCAGCUCGUCUGGGUGGCGGCGGUGCUCCGUCUGACCCAUACGGCUCCAGCGGCUAGCGGCUAACUCAGAACUGUCAUGGACCAAGGGAAUCCGACUGUCUAAUUAAAACAAAGCGUCGUGACGGCCCCUGUUGGGUGUUGACGCGACGUGAUUUC